GUGCUCACUUCGGCAGCACAUGUACUAAAACUGGAACGAUACAGAGAAGAUUAGCAUGGCCCCUGUGCAAGGAUAAAAUGUAGUUCAUGUGAACAACUGAUUACACUG